CGGCGUGCUUAACACAUGCAAGUCGAACGGAAAGGCCCUGCUUGCAGGGUACUCGAGUGGCGAACGGGUGAGUAACACGUGGGUGAUCUGCCCUGCACUUCGGGAUAAGCCUGGGAAACUGGGUCUAAUACCGGAUAGGAGCCAUUUUUAGUGUGAUGGUUGGAAAGUUUUUUCGGUGUAGGAUGAGCUCGCGGCCUAUCAGCUUGUUGGUGGGGUAAUGGCCUACCAAGGCGGCGACGGGUAGCCGGCCUGAGAGGGUGGACGGCCACAUUGGGGCUGAGAUACGGCCCAGACUCCUACGGGAGGCAGCAGUGGGGAAUAUUGCACAAUGGGCGCAAGCCUGAUGCAGCGACGCCGCGUGGGGGAUGACGGCCUUCGGGUUGUAAACUCCUUUCGCUAGGGACGAAGCUUUUUGUGACGGUACCUAGAUAAGAAGCACCGGCUAACUACGUGCCAGCAGCCGCGGUAAUACGUAGGGUGCGAGCGUUGUCCGGAAUUACUGGGCGUAAAGGGCUCGUAGGUGGUUUGUCGCGUCGUCUGUGAAAUUCCGGGGCUUAACUCCGGGCGUGCAGGCGAUACGGGCAUAACUUGAGUACUGUAGGGGUAACUGGAAUUCCUGGUGUAGCGGUGAAAUGCGCAGAUAUCAGGAGGAACACCGAUGGCGAAGGCAGGUUACUGGG
rnacentral:rRNA from 1 species